rnacentral:lncRNA from 1 species
AUGGUGACCAAACCUGUCAGAUUGUUUUUUAAAGAUGCUGAGGAGCAGAUUUCUCAUGGGGAGCACCUUCUGAUACAUUUUAAUACGUUUCUUACAGGCUAGUCAAAUAAAGCAGUGGGAGUGGAAAAGGAUCAAAGAAAUCUGUAACCGGUUAUGAUCAAUUAGUUGUAAACACCACUGCACGAGGACCAGCCCAAAGCUGCUACUUAACCAAGUGACUUUCUGAUUGCUCAACUGUGUUUCCACUGAGAAAAAUGCAUUGAAAUGAAACAUCUCAUUUCCAGUACUGUCCUGAGGCAAAAAGAGACAAUGAUACGUAUCUCCAAUUUAGACUGGAUGAAACUAGCCACAUUUCAAAUAAAGAAGUCACAUUGUAAGUGUAAAACGACGUUAACCUUAAAGGAGACAUUUCCGCCCUGUAUAACUAUGCACAGCUUCAACUAAUGGUAUAUGAACUGUGUCUACAAACCAAAGGACAUUUUUCUAAAGAAACUUUAAAUAUAGAAAAUUAACUCAAACCUUACCUUAGAGCUUCCUCCUCUAUUGUCUUUUCCUGUAGUGGUAGUCUCUGUGGCACUUACAGGUGGUAAACAAAUAAAAAAGUGUCUUAUUGAAUUAACUUGAUUGCCAUAUUGAUCAGUUUUAUGUGUUUUUAUUCUUAAGCAUAACAAUAAAAGAAAAUGAUUAAGCAAUGUUUUGCUUAAAAAAAAAAGAUUUCAUGGCAGAGAAGCAAUUGAGUCCAGUUAAGAGACAGUUAAGAACAUUUUUCAGUUUGGAGCUUUUGUUUUGUGAUGAGAACUUUGCCAGUUAGUCACAAAUGAACUUGAGCACAUUUUCUUGAGCGUGAUGGCUGAACAGAUGAGCCACACACACUUUAUAGUGAGUUUUACUGCACUGAGUCUUUACCUACUAUUCCUAGUAGUUACACAUAUUAAAUUAUUAAUAACUGAUCAACAUUUUAAAAGAAGGUUUCAAAAGAAAUGUAAUUAGAUUUUAUAGUUGAGUUUUAGCUAAUGUGUGAUUCCACAAAAGUUCAGGUGCCGAGAUUACAUUUCAAUUUAUACUUGCCAUCUGCUAGAAUAUUCCCCUCUGUCUACAGCAUCCUGACCAGAUCUCCAAAUUUUGAAAUCUGUUUUCAUUAUUCAAGACUC